AAAAGUUAAAAAGUUUAAGUUAAAAUCAUUACCGACAAAAUGUGAAAAAAAAAGCUAGGUAGAAAUGGUGUUGAGCUUGAAUGUGAAGCAAGGGGUUUGGGAUGAAAAAAUUUAUGGUGAAAGCUUAGUAAAGGGGUUGGGUUAUGAGUGUUAGAGAGUGAGAAAUUUUGAGGAAAAAAAUGGAAAAAAAAUUGGUGGUGGUGACUUUUGGGAGAGAAAAGGGUUUUGGUUUUGAUUUAGGUUUGGAGAAGAGGGGUUGAAUGAUAUUUUUU
rnacentral:lncRNA from 1 species